UUGCGGCCAUAUUACGUUGAAACGCCUGUUCUCGUAUGAUCACCGACGUUAAGCAACGUCGAAUCUAGUCAGUUCCUAGAUGAUUAACCGCUUGGGAAUACCCGGUGAUGUGA